rnacentral:rRNA from 1 species
CGCCUUGCCAGCCCGCUCAGAACUUAAAGGAAUUGACGGGGCCCGCACAAGCGGAGGAGCAUGUGGUUAAUUCGAUGAUACGCGAGGAACCUUACCUGGGCUCGAACGUAAGAUGACUGUAGGUGAAAGCUUACAUCUCUUCGGAGCAUUUUACGAGGUGCUGCAUGGUUGUCGUCAGCUCGUGCCGUGAGGUGUCGGGUUAAGUCCCAUAACGAGCGCAACCCCUACCUUUAGUUGCCAUCAGGUUAAGCUGGGGACUCUAAAGGAACUGCCUACGCAAGUAGUGAGGAAGGCGGGGAUGACGUCAAAUCAGCACGGCCCUUACGUCCAGGGCUACACACGUGCUACAAUGGCCGAUACAGAGGGCAGCUACCUGGUGACAGGAUGCAAAUCUCCAAAGUCGGUCUCAGUUCGGAUCGGAGUCUGCAACCCGACUCCGUGAAGUUGGAUUCGCUAGUAAUCGCGCAUCAGCCAUGGCGCGGUGAAUACGUUCCCGGGCCUU